UAGGGAAUCUUCCACAAUGGACGCAAGUCUGAUGGAGCAACGCCGCGUGAGUGAAGAAGAUCUUCGGAUCGUAAAACUCUGUUGUUAGAGAAGAACAUGCAGGAGAGUAACUGUUCUUGUAUUGACGGUAUCUAACCAGAAAGCCACGGCUAACUACGUGCCAG
rnacentral:rRNA from 1 species